GUGGGGAAUAUUGGACAAUGGGCGAAAGCCUGAUCCAGCCAUGCCGCGUGUGUGAAGAAGGUCUUCGGAUUGUAAAGCACUUUAAGUUGGGAGGAAGGGCAGUAAGCUAAUACCUUGCUGUUUUGACGUUACCGACAGAAUAAGCACCGGCUAACUUCGUGCCAGCAGCCGCGGUAAUACGAAGGGUGCAAGCGUUAAUCGGAAUUACUGGGCGUAAAGCGCGCGUAGGUGGUUUUGUAAGUUGAAGGUGAAAUCCCCGGGCUCAACCUGGGAACUGCCUCCAAAACUGGAUGACUAGAGUACGGUAGAGGGUAGUGGAAUUUCCUGUGUAGCGGUGAAAUGCGUAGAUAUAGGAAGGAACACCAGUGGCGAAGGCGACUACCUGGACUGAUACUGACACUGAGGUGCGAAAGCGUGGGGAGCAAACAGGAUUAGAUACCCGGGUAGUCC
rnacentral:rRNA from 1 species